AUACUGCAUUUGUAAAGCCUUCGUGUCACAGUAUUAGCUUUUGCAUAUACAAAAAUAUGGCAAACUUUAAUAGUGACGAACUUUUAAAGCUGUUCACUCAGUAUGCUUUGAAAGAGGGUAGUUCUACUUUGCUUUCCACUAGUGGAGUUACAAGUUUGCUUCAGAGUCACUUCUCAAACCUUUUGGGUUCACUUUCUCUCAACGACAUUGUAAAACUUGCGGACAUCGAUAAAGACGGAAAAAUCAACUUUAACGAUUUUAAGGCACUGUUCAGCAAGAUAAGAGGUUUGACUGGAUUAUCUAGUUUGUCUGGACUAACUGAUUUAGGAUCUUAAUGCAUCCUGGGAAGAAGAGGAAGGCAGAUAAAACAUGUGACAUCCUAAAAUCACUGUAAUAUGGACAAUUAAAACAUUUUCAUUUGUACAAAGAAUCUCUCUAAAAGAAAACUUAAUCAAUGUGAAAAGAUGGGUAUCAUUGAAUAAAUAUCUACUUUGUUUUAAAGCCUU